GGCCUUUUGAAAAUAAUUUAAGGUCUAAUCUGCCCACUGAGAAGUUAAAUGGCCGCGGUAUUUUGACCGUGCAAAGGUAGCAUAAUAAUUAGUUUUUUAAUUGAAAGCUGGUAUGAAUGAUUGAAUGAGAAAAUAGCUGUCUCAAAUUUAUUUAUUUAGAAUUUUAUUUUUAAGUUAAAAAGCUUAAAUUUAUUUAAAAGACGAGAAGACCCUAUAGAGUUUGAUAAAUAGAUAAGUAUAAGAUUUUUAGGAUUUUAAAUUUUUAUUAUUAUUAUAUUUAUUUUGUUGGGGUGACAAAAAAACUAAAUUAACUUUUUUUUAUUUAAACCAUAAAUAAAUGAAUUUUUGAUCCAUUUUUAAUGAUUAUAAGAUAAAAUUACCUUAGGGAUAACAGCGUAAUUUUUUUUUAGAGUUCUAAUCGAAAAAAAAGAUUGCGACCUCGAUGUUGGAUUAAAGUUAAGUUUUGGUGUAGAAGCUAAAAUUUUAGGUCUGUUCGACCUUUAAAACUUUACA
rnacentral:rRNA from 1 species